UGAAUGUGAAGCUUUCAUAGAGCCCCUGAGAAACUUGUUCCUCUCUUCUCUGUGCAUUCUAUGUAAGGGAAAGGUUCCUUAUUUAGCAGUCUUUCAGUAGCUCUGCAUUCAUUUUCACAGAUAGAACUCAAUUUAAAAACUGGGUUUCAGUUGUGUUCAUCUGAAAAUGAGGUAUUUAUAAAACGUCGUGUUAACAACGUCUGCUCAGGUAGACUGUUGUGUCCAUUUCCAUGUUCAGCUAGAAGAGAAUCACACAAGCUGAGCUAUGUUACAUCUUAACAGUUGUGAACAGAGCAAAGUCAGCAAUUAUUUUGCAGUUCAAAAGUUCAAACUAAGGUUUAAAAAUAUCCAUCGUAUCAUGGUCGCACUGCAGAAAAAGCUGAGCUGUACUAUUGGUGCAUCAGCUUUGCUGCAUGUCUAAGGGCAGUAGAUGGCACUCGUGUCUAACCACGCUCUGGCACUUCAGUCACCUUCUGCAGCUCGGAGGUCUGCUGUCUCUUCCGGGUUUUAUUGUUCCAAACCGCGUAAACUCCGCCCUCAGACAGCGGUGAGGCAAAAUGCAGCACUGAAGGCGCUCCUCACACUGCUCCUGUGAGGACUCCGCUGUUCUGCACAGCGAGCACAGUGUGGAAAGAUAAACAAAAAUUGUCCCGUAUCAAAUCAGCUUUGUUACAAUAAUUAGGAAAGAGCCUGAGAAAAUAUUUUACCAAGUGUCCUUGUUGAUUUUUUGUGUUUGUACAGCACAAACAUUGCCUCAGGUGCACAGGAAUGAUGGAUCACACAGCUCUGUGACCAAUGCACGAGGAUGCCCUUCCAGCACUGCAGAGCCUCGCGCUUGGAGCAGACAGCUGAGUGCUUUCUGCUCACACUGACAGGGCUCUUGGAGCAUUACAAAAGAAAAAGACCUGACUAUUUUUUUGCUUAGAAAAGAUGGUGAUACUGGUUUUUUUCGUAUUUAAAAAAUGCUUUACAACGAUGUUAGGUAGAUAGCUCUUGCACAGAAAAUGAGCAUCAACAUCUUAAAAAAUAUAUAUAUCCUACAUCCAUGUCACGAGUCAGUGACAGGUCUACAUCUUAAAAUGCAGUUAAAUGCACCAGUAUGUACAGGGCUUGUUGAAGUUCAGAUGCUGUCAUGAUUGGAAUUAAAAUAAACAAACAGGACAAGGACUUUCUCCCCUUGAGAACUUGCUGAUAGCUGAUCCGACCAUAUCAUGCGCUUCUCAUGGAAGGCGGUGGGCAACUGCUGGUGAGCUCUUCUAUGCAGCAGUUGCUGAAAUAGAUGGGACAACAGUUCCUGUUCUUGCAAAGUCAUCCAGGAAGAAAAAACAACGAAGCCAAACUACAUGUAUGGAAGAGCUAUCAUUGACAUUCCUUUCCCUGUGAAGGCUCAAUACUGAGGCAACAAAAAUAGGAAGAGUCUUAAGCAGUGCUAGCUGAGGGCUCAUGGAAUAUGACUGCACUCACAGGGCAACGUUCUGAAGUACCAGGACAUGUACCCCUGGGUGCUUGCCUGUCACUGCUCACAAACUGCUUCACCUUUCACAAAAGGCUUCAUGCAACUUCCAGGCCAUCAACAGCUCCUGUCAGCUGUGCUGGGAGGUAUUACAAAGGCUGGCAAUGAUGGUCUGGCUUAUGGGGACAUUAGCAACUGUGUAUCCUUGAAGUACAAACAUAGGUAUGUAUAUAUGUAUAUUUAAAGAUCUUUGAAUGAACAAAGCUGAAUGUUCCUUGUUUUGUAAUGGCUCUGCAGCUCCGGCUUGAUUAAUGUCUGGAGUUCAUGCAGGCGCUCCCAGGACUGUGAGAAAUCAUCUGGUCCUUCCCCACAGCCACCAAUGGGAGGGACGCUUGGGUACCCUGGGUGCACCAUCAGUUCAAUUGUUACUGUCCUGUGCUGUGGCACUGGGUGUGCAGGCACCUUGGAUGUGAAGUCCACGAUGGCGGUGUCAAUGGCAUUCUGGAUGGCACUCACGGACAUGUUCUUGCCCAUGGUACUCAAACCUAUGUAAAUGUCUGGCCACCUUAUUCCAUGCUUUGUAAACACAUCCACUGUGUUCAGAGAAUCUUUUUC
rnacentral:lncRNA from 1 species